GGCGGGCCCGGGCUGGGGGCGCGGCCUGGCUGCGCGCUAGGGGCCGGGCCCGCGGAGCAGAGCCUCGGCCGCCGCAGUGGCCACGGCCGCCGCCGCCCGCC
rnacentral:miRNA from 1 species